CGAGGAACAGAACCAAGGAACCCUAGCUUAUGGAAAUGGUAGAGCAAUUCCCAUUGAGAAUCAACCCAACAACACAGGCGAUGUAGAUAUCGGAAUGAUGGACUCAGAUCUGGGAGGAUGGGAACAUCUUGCACAUGAUUCAAAACUCCCUGCUACUGCUGAACAUAGGAGCACCACAAAUUAGAUGACUGUUUAGUAUUCACUGGAGCUACUAUUAAAGGAGCAAAACAUUUGGAGCAGGUGAUAAUCCAUCAAUUUUGGAAAAUCAGGUACGCUCGCUGGAAUAUCAAAUUUUACAUAUUGGAUAGCAAGCUGGUUUCAAAACGGUGAAAAUAAUGUUAUACAAGACAAUUUUAUAAGUACUGCAUCCUUUACAUUGUGGGUAUCUGGAAAAUGAGAUGCUCUUUUGUAUUUGAUAAUGUACAAGUGAAUGUGGAGAAUGUUGUAGGUCAAAUCAACCAAAGCAGGUUGUACUAGACUACUAGUAUUCAAAAACAUGUCUUGAAUAGACAAACAGGCGGUACUAUUAGAAAUGCAGUGCAAUGGGAAAAACCACCUUUCUCUUUUAUAAAAGUCAAUUUUGAUGCAACAUAUUCUAAGAAAACAAAUUUGAUGGGAGUAGGAUUAAUUAUUGUCGAUGAUGCAAGUAAUCCAAGGGGAGCAGGGUGCAUACCAGGCUUAUCUGAAGAUGCAGAAAAACCAGAAUCCAUAGCUGCACUAGAAGGAAUUAAAUGGGGCGUGGAGCAUAAUGUUGCAAACCUCAUUCUAGAAGCAGAUUCUGCAAAUGUGGUGAAUGCAAUUAAUGGAAAAAUAUUAUUAAUGAUUGUUUAGAUUUGCUCAAGUUAUUAAAUAAAUGGGAAUGUCAUUAUGUCCCAAGAGAGAUAAAUGAAGUAGCUCAUCUUCUAUCUAAAGAUGCAAAACUUCUAAGUAGU